UGCAACCCGACUCCACGAAGUUGGAUUCGCUAGUAAUCGCGCAUCAGCCAUGGCGCGGUGAAUACGUUCCCGGGCCUUGUACACACCGCCCGUCAAGCCAUGGGAGCCGGGGGCGCCUGAAGUCCGGGACCGCGAGGACCGGCCUAGGGCGAAACUGGUGACUGGGGCUAAGUCGUAACAAGGUAGC
rnacentral:rRNA from 1 species